ACAGUCACUGGAAAUGAUCAACACAAUUAGAUUUGCUUCUUUUGCCCCAGAACAAAGCGGGUUUGUUGAUGUACUGAAUCGGACACAUUACUUUCUAGCUGAACACUCAGCUUCAUCCACUCCAGGACAGCUGAGCGUCUGGAUGGUGUCUCACCCUGUUGCCCAGGCUGGAAUACAGUGGCACGAUCCUGGCUCACUGCAAUCUCCAUCUCCCGGGUUCAAGCGAUUCUCCUGCCUCAGCCUCUCAAGUAGCUGGGAUUACAGGGCUUCAGAAGCUGAUGGCAUAGUUAUGAGAGGGGUGAAGACUGCGACUGCAUUUCCAACAGACCCUGAGGACAAUUGGGAAGAAUGCACUUUUCUCUUCAGCGUCUUCUUCAAGGUAUUUCCAGUUGCCCGCCCUGAACUGUUUCAGAAUGAGGAGGACACCUGGAGGAAUCUACACGUGCAUAGACCAAUUUGCAAAAGAACCUGUGAGCCAACAUUAUUACCUCAGCUGGAAGAAUUAAUAAGCAACACGUUCACCCAAGAAGUAUUUACUGAGCACCUACUAUGUGCAUUAUUUUCUGGUGUUGGGGCUAGGGGGCAAACGACUCUGACAAGUCUCUGUUCUCAAGGCUGGAGUGCAGCGGCGCGAUCUCGGCUCACUGCAAGCUCCGCCUCCCGGGUUCACGCCAUUCUCCUGCCUCAGCCUCCCGAGUAGCUGGGACUACAGGCGCCCGCAACCACGCCCGGCUAAUUUUUUGUAUUUUUAGUAGAGAUGGGGUUUCACCAUGUUAGUCAGGAUGGUCUCGAUUUCCUGACCUUGUGAUCCGCCCGCCCCCGCCUCCCAAAGUGCUGGGAUUACAGGCGUGAGCCACCGCGCCCGGCCGUAGUUUACAUUUUCUAAAGCGUACUCUGCCAGCCAAGUGGCAAACAGACUUGGGCCUCUUAAGAGUGGAAGCAGGAGGAAACCCGAAGAUCCUGGAGAGAGACUGGUGGCUGGUACCAGUGGAGAGGGAGCAAAAAGGAAAAUACAGGAUACAAUUUCAGGAAAAAUUUCAUACCAAUUUCCUGAGGUAAUUUCUGAACUCGAACAUUUUCAGUGUCACCACAUUGUGUUUCCUGCUGAAUCAAGUCUACAUCACUUCGGUUUUUAAAGCCUUCCACGAUCCUUCCCUGAACACUGUAGUUUUCACUGAUGGUUGGCUGUUUCAAACUCCCAUAUGAUCCAUACUGUAUCAUUAAUAAGCAAGCAAGGAAUAACACACCCUCUGCUAUUCUGUGCAGUGUUUCAGGUUUUUAGUUUUCUCUUUCAAGAUAGAAAAUCCCUUUAGAGUAGGAACUCGGCUGGCACUUUCUUUCACAUCCUGCAUAGCACUUAGCAAAGUUCUGUACACAGGGCACAUGUGGAAAUUGCUUAUUGAUUGAUUAAAAGCAUAUAUCACUGGCAUUUGUAUCUUCAGUAUUUCUCUUGUAUGAAGAAGGGUGAUUAUCUGUCAAUAUUCAUUGCAUCAUUGAACCAAUGUACAAUGCAUUAAUCAUCACUGAAGAUAACCAGAUGAGGCUUUAUUGUAAUCUCCUUCUAUUUUGCUGAGAUAAUUUCACUUGCUUUAGAGUUUAUGAGGCCAUAAGUGGCUCCCAUCUGUUGAUGAACAUAUUUCUAAGAGUCAUUUAGUCUCAAGUAUGGAAUACUUGAGGGGAAGUUAAAUUGUAACUUUUAUAUUAAGUGUCAUCUUAGUAACAGAACCAAAAUUGGAAGCAUGUGUUCAAUUUUGGUUUUUCAUUUUCAAAGCUUUAGGUCAGGCAAAGAAUUAAUUUCAUUUGUUUACAAAGUAGAUUAUGCCUAAUAAAAUCUAUUUUGUUUAUGGUCACAUUUUAAUCAAUCCACUGCUUUAGAAAAUGAGAGAAUUCUGAUUGGCUAAUCAUUCAACAUAGUAAAUUACAUUAUUCCACAUCCACAGAACACUGGCCUAAUUGCAUUAUCCAGUAAUGAUAAAAAUAUUCCUUUUAAUACAUUUUGAGCAAGGCAUAUACCAGUGAUGAAACAGGGAAGAAUCUUGUUUAUUCCAUCCUUGUUUGAUGAUCGACCACAGAAUAUAACAUAACACUUCUGUGUAUAAGAAUUUUUUCAACAUUAAGGAUAAUA
ensembl:lncRNA AQP4-AS1 AQP4 antisense RNA 1